AGAGAACCAGGGCUGCUAUUCCCACAUCGUUACAUUACAGACACAGAUGACAUGAGAACACUGAAUAGCAAUCUUACAGUCACAGCAUGGCUGAGAACACAAGAAUCGGCAUUGAUGAUACCAAGAGCACAAAGAAGUGGAAGUUAAAAAACAGAGAAAGAAGAGAGAACCGCCAAGCUGAAGCAAUGUUAUCAGCAGAGGUCGGUGCAAACACAGCCUCCACAACUCAGCAAGAUGCACCUCCGAGUGCUCCUGGAAGGAUCCUGUGUCAGGAUCGAUAUCUAUAAACAACCUCUAUGAAGCCAAAAAGGAAGCAUUUCUGUGUAUCAAUACACAAUGCCUUACGAGGAAGAAAAAAGAACGUCUUCUUUUUAACUGCCACUCAGUGCUUUUGCUUUUUAAACUGUCUGAUGGCCAAGUUCAAAAGCAAUUUGUCCUGCACAGUCAUUGCCCAAAGUGGACAACAUAAUUAAUCAUCUAUCCUUAUGCACUUGUGACUUAAAAUGACUUUUAGCUAAAUACUCUUACCCUAGCUCUCCCCUUGAUUAAUCCUGAACCAUGUAAGCAUGAAUUUUAUUACUGGCUCUCUCCUUCUGUCAGCUGGAAUGUCACGCUGGAAUAUAAUGAAAAUAAAAUCAUAGUAUGUUCAUUUCCCCACUGCUCUAAAAAUGCCAUUUAUUUCCUUUUUGAAAUACUUUUUAG
rnacentral:lncRNA from 1 species